AUUUUGAAAUUUGAUACUUAUUUGAUGUAUUGAUUGCUUGUUUGUGUUCAUGUUUUAAUUAUGGUAUGAAUUCAUUGUUGGUUGAAUUGUAAUUGACUUGAAUUCCCCAUGUUUUGGAUUUCAUGUAUCCGGGUCUGUUUUGAGGAUGCUUUCAACGUGUCCGAUGAAAUUCCUCAACCAUUUGUGUUACUCUGAUUGUUACAUUUAAGUUCGUUAAAUUCUUGCAAUGAUUUAGUUAGUUGAGUGCUUAUUGUUAAUUUAAUGCUUGUUCUUCAUGUAGAUUCAAUUAGUUUAGAUCAGAUUAGGUUCUGUUAAAUGAUAUAGGUUUCUUUUAUUUCAUGCUUUAGGAUCAGUAAAUGCUUUAUUCUCUUCAUGCUGUCUUUCCUAUUCUUCCAUUGUAGUCUAGGCUAGGUUAGGCUCUUAUCACGUGCAUUGCUUUUCAUUCCUUAGUCUUAGAACACAAACCCCCCAUUUAAACUUCAAAAAUACCAAGCAAUAAUAUUCAAUCCUGAGUUUAUCACCCUACUGAUACAUUCAUUGGGAGACGACCCGAGUCAUUUCUAUGCUACAUUAGUGUAGAAUAAAUUUGGUUACUUAAUUCUUUUGAUACCUAUUUCACGAUAAAAUUAGGGUUUAUCAAAAUUGGCAUCGUUGCUGGGGAAUUGUAGUAGUGUUUGAUAGCUUAGGAUUGUUUCUUUUUCUUUUCAUAAAAAAAUUUGAAAAAAAUUGUUGUUAAAUGCUUUAAUGUUCAUACAUCCAUGUGUUUGAUUUUAUAUGUUCCUGUGUCUUCUAAUCUUAUCUGCUAAUGUUUCAGUAUAAGAGUGGGAAAUUUCUUUGACCAUGGAUCCAUAUUAUCAGUAUUUUGGAAGUGGGAUGGAGAGUAUGAGGACACACAAGGUCAAUUUACUGAGCCAUACCCAGCUUACCAGAGUGAUCCAGCUCCCUGGGGAACAUUUCAAGAUGAAGUUCAAGCCCCUAGUUCAACAUUGGACCUCCAGGAGAUUAUCUAGCUAAUGAUAGAGCAUCAAAAGAAAUAAUUUACAGAUAUACAAAAUUUACAGAUACAAGUAAACCAAUUUACAUCGUCCAUUAGCCAACAACAAGCACCAUGUUUCAGUGAGAAGAGGGAUUGUAGUGUUUUUGAUAGACCUGAUCUUGUUUCCAUUACUCCACAGGAAUCCUCUAGUAUUUCUUGUUGUGAUGCUUUAGUUGUAAGGAUUUCUGACUCUAUUGAUACUAUUGUUGUAGAUAUUGUUGAUGAUGCAGGUACUGAUGUUGAUGAAAAGGAGAAUGUAGGGGAUUGUAUAGUGGAAGCAAUACCCCAAUAAUCACCUCUUUCAGUUGCACAAUCACCGGAACCAUAUGUUGAUAAUGUAAGUGUAGGGGAUUGCACAUUGGAAGCAAUACCCCAAGAAUCAUCUGAACUAGAGCUUGAGCUAUUACUUGAUGAUGAGGAGGUCACAGUCACCAUUCUAGAACCUCUAGAUACGUUUCAACAUGACAAGUUUAGUAUUUCUUGUGAUUCAUCAGAAAAUUUUAUAGAGGUACCAUUAAUUGACUUUAUUGGAUGCAAUGCAUUUCUUGAACCAUGUGGUAUAGAAACUAAUAUUUUUUCAUGCUUGUGAGAGGUGUUGCCUUUUAUUGAUUUUGUAAGAGAUUAUAAGCUUCUAGAGUGGAUGCUUAAAUUGAACCGUCAUCAACCUCCGAGAAGAACUUUCAAAAAGAAUAGGGUGAAGGGAGAGGUCAUUACUUCAAAUGCAAUCAUUCCACUACUGGCAUGGAUCUUACUUCUUAACCGACUCCAACCACUGGGAAUAAUCAUUCCAAUACUGACAUGGAUGUUACUUUUAAAUCGUUUCCAACCACUGGGAAUAAAGGGGAGUUCGUUCUUUACUUUUCUUUUUGCUUUAUACUUUUCUUUAGUUUCAUACUUUACUUGCAUUUUACUUCCAUACUUUGCACUUUGUUUGGUCUACAUAGCAUUUCAUUUUGAAUAAAAUUCUCCAUGAAAUUGUUCUAGUAAUACAUUUAAGAUGGUAAAAGUUCUUUAAGUUUGACUGUCAAUUUUUAGGUCAAUAGACAUAAUUUAAUGCUUUACUUGCAUGCUAUUGGUGAGUGUGAUGAUGGAUUUUAUGUUGAUUAAUUGAGUUUGAUUGUAAAAAUUACCUAGGGAGGACUACCUAAAGCCUAUACUCUAUUAUUCUUUUUGUGUGAUAUAUACUCAUGACAAUUGAACUCUAGAACUUGCUUAGCUGCUUUUUUAAGUCACAAUACCAUAUGUAUGCAUGGAGAUGAUGAAGGAUAUUUUCUUUCCUAUUCUUUGAUUCCUUUUCCCUUUCAAAUACAAGUUAAAUCCCUCACUCAAUACUUUUAUCUUUCACCAUAUUUGCUUGACAUUCUUUCAUUGAGAGUUUGGAUUGAUGUCUUGAUGAGUUAGAAGACCCAAAAUUCUAAGUGUGGGGGAAGGGUUGCAUAUGUGGGGAGAUCUUGAAGUUUUGGGUGGGUUCAUGGUGUUUUAGAUCUCUGAUUUUUUAGCAUGUUUUGGAUGUUUAGUUCAAGCUUAUGCUAUUGUGGAAAAUGGGAGCAAAGAGCAUUCCUUGGAUGUAUUAAACCAUUGCCUUGCUAUUGUCAUUUGGUGUAUUGUGAUGUUUAAUAGUUAUGGCUGAAAUUCAAAGGUUCUACUUUUGGUUUUGUUGGGAUAGAAGGCUAGAAUUGUUGAUCCUAACUGAUUAGAUGCACUCAGAUUUUUGAUGUUGGUGAAGUCCUUGAGCUAGAAAAUUUCAAAAUCUGAGGAAGCAACAGUCAUGUUCUUGUGUAAAUAUGAGGGAAUACUGUUUUAGUGGUGUAAGAUUUAGUAACACAUCUAAUAGAAAAAAUUUGAAAGAAAGCUCAAAAAAGAAAAAAUUGGAUGGCUGCUGAUCUUAAGGAUUGCUGCUAGAAAAAUUCUUAGCAGUUCAUAUUUCAAGGGUUGUUGUUAAGGAAUGAAGAUCCAUCAAAGUGAAGUGAAGAAGAAUAGAAAAAAAUUGAGGAAGUAUUAUCUGCUAUUGCUGAAUUCAGAAAUAACUGCUAAGUGAAGUGCCAAUUCUUAUUGAAUUUUCUUAUCAACAACAAAUUGGAAUUGAAGCUCCAACUAUAUUCUGAACUGGAGUCGGAAAAAAAAUUCGAAAGUUUUCAUUCAUUUGAUUUUUAAUUUUUGAAACUUUGAAGUCAGAAAAUUGCAGAAUUCAAAAUGUAAAUGACACAUCUGGAAUCUUGAAUCCGAGGGAGUGUUUGGUUGAUGGGUUUGGGAAUAAAGGAAUGGAAUGAUAGUAAAAGAUAAUAUUUGAAUUGUAAGUUUGGGAAUGAUAAUUUAGAAAUGAUUUCCAGAUUAAUGAGAAUCAGCAAAACCCAUAUAACUGGUAGGUUUCAUUCCCAUUCUCAUUCUCAUUCCACCUUACUAUCAAACACAUACUCAUAGUCAUUCCAAUCAUUUAACCAAACGCCACUUGAAUUUAGAAUGCUGGAAAUGGAAUCAAAGCCCAGCAUUGUUCCAACUCUAAAUGCUGAUUAUGAAUAGAAAUAAUUCUAAUUCAAACUUCUACCAUUGGAAUGCUAAAUGAGUCCUUUGUCUAAGCUGAAUUCUUCAUUGACUUAAGUUGGAAUUCUCUUGAAUCCCAAUUCUGAAACUUAAAGUUUCAAUUAUGAAAAUUCUGAAUUCUAGUUCUGUAAUCUGAAGUUCUAAAAUUUUCAGGAGGGAGUCUUGAAUGCAAAUUGAAAGCCUCUUUGGUGUGCCUAUGGUGGGGGAGUUAAUGAACUUUAAUUAGUGCUGGGCUAUUGCACACAGAUGAGGAGUUGCAGAAAAUAAGAAGGAUUGAAAAAAAAAUAAUAACAACAGUUUAGUGCCAAGUAGAUCCCUGUUUCUAACCAGCGAAUACCUUAAAUUGAGGCUCCUAACAAUUCAGUGCUAAAUGGUAUUAUAACCUCUAUAAACUCUACAUGAGUCAGGCCUAAACUACUUCAGACUUUCAAAAUCUGAAACUGAGUUCUGGAAAACUAGAAUUUCUGAAAUGAGUUUCAUUUCUGGAGUUUUGGCAUGAUUUUGAAUAUGGUUUUGAAUUCAUGAAUUGUAGAGAUCAGUUCCAUGAUUUCAGCAAGUUUUUCUAGUUAAUAGAGAAAGAAAAAAAUAACAGUGAUAUCAGGAUUUUGGAGUCAAAAGCAAACUAAAUUGUGUCAAACUCUCUUGAAUAAUUCUGGACAGUGACAAAUCCAACUUGAGUCAUGUAUUGUAGUGUCAUUUGGUGUUUUACUCUUAUCAAAUUUUAGUUAAUCAAAACUUUGAAAUCCAGGAAUCAGAAUUAAAUUGAUAUCAGGAUUUUUAGAAUUUGGAAUUGUUUGGAUGGGAAUGCAGGGAAUAGGUGUUUCUUUAUCUAAACAACUUGCUGCAAGUUCUGAUCAUUGAAGAACUGAAGUGAAGCUCUUAGUCACUAAUUGACAAGGGAAGGAAGGAUGAUUACAUAAUAGUGUAGGGAUUAUUUGAAGAUGAAGGAGGGCAAUGGCAACAGCCAUAGACAGUGCUGAUUUCUGAACAAUCUUCAUAUAUAAGUUUCUAAAAUUCUGAUUCUUUGGCAGCUUCAAUGAUCCGAGCUUUUGCUGGAUUUGAGGUUAUGAAUCAAAUUGCUUGGUUGCUUGAGUUCAGAAAGAAUAAAAGAGGGAGUGUCUUGAUCUCUAUGUGCCAACCCAAUGUUAUGAUGGCUAUGUUUUCCUAGGCAGAAUUCAGAAUUUAGUCCAAUCUUGGAUGUGAGUUCUGAAUUUAUUUUAGAGCUUAUGAAUUGUAGGAUUGAUCAUCUUAAAUAUUUCCUAGAACCUUUGAACUUGUACAUCACAGCAGUCCAGUUGUAAGUUGUGUAGUUUAUAAAAAAAAAAGAGAAGAAGAAGAAAAUAGUCAUACAAAAGAAGGUGUGCCAAGUUGGAGCUAUAGCGUGCCGAAUUCUUUGAGUAGUUAUUUGAUCAGAGGAAAGCCAAACUAGAUCUCUUGAUCUAUCAUUUACAAAUGGUAUUCUUAUAUAUAUGACAUUUGGUUGACUCAUCAGAUUUAUCAAUCCAACCUCUCAAUUUCCAUUCAUUGAUUCUUCUUUUCUUAUCUAGUCUUUUGCUUGUUCUCUUAUUUUCUUCACACAGUUAUAAAAUUAUUUCAAUUCAUGCAUGUUAUAUAUUUACAAUGAUGGAGAAUUAGAAAAUAAGCAAGCUUAUGGUAGUGAAAUAUUGUGAGUUGCAUUGAGUGAACCUCCACUUCCAUCCAUAUUUGAGUGUGAGAGUUAGAGUAGGUACAUUUACCUGGUAAGGUUGUAUCUUUCUUAAUUUUUCAAAUGGAUGAUAUCACCAUGCCUAUUGAUUAUUGGAGUAAUUGUAUUCAUGAUUGUUUUGAUCUUUAGAUGAUCUUAGUUAAAUUUCUUUUAUUAUCUUCUAGGUAUUGCUAGGAAAUUAUUGUGGAGAUAGUUUUUAGUUAUUUCUUUGUUUUGUUUACUUGUCGGGACGUGCAAGAAUAAGUGUGAGGGAAUUUGAUAACCAUCAUUUGAUUAUGAUAUUUUGAUUCAUAUAAACAUACUUUUUAAUCUUCUCAUCUCAUGUGUUAAUUUCAUGUUUACAUCAUGUUUUAUGAGUUAGAGUCAUUUUUAGACUUAGUUGCAAACUAUUUCAUAAUUACAAUGUUUGAUGUUAAUAUUUGAAUAUGAUCUUUGUAGGCAUCAAAGGGCAAGGAAUCAAGUCAGAUCGAUCCAAAUUGGGCUCAAUUCUGAGAUUAAUUGGGGAGAUCAAUCUUCGAAGAAAUCUAGGUCGUCCAUUCGAGAUUCGGAGAGAUCUAUGUCAUCCAUUAAACAUAUGCUCCAUCCAAGUCAAAGAGAGGGUAGAUAAGGACCAUAGAUCAAGAUCUGAAUCCUUUGAACUAGAUCUGAAUCCUUUGAACUAGAUCUGAACUAAUCCGACCGUUGAUCAAGAUAUGGAAGAAUCUUAGCCGUCCAUCCGAAUCUGAUCAGAUUUAAAUUCUGUGAGAAACUACAGUGCCCGUGUUCAUCAAUUUGCUGAGUGUAGGCGCGAUCGCGUCUUCUUCCCCAGGUGAUCCCGCACCUCUAUCCACCUUCCACAGCCGGUAACCAAUGAGGUCAAGGGCAUUUCCCUUCCUCUGAUCAUCAUCCAUCUUCAAGCCGGCGAUGCCACUUCAAUCAUCUGAUCUAUAUCUUGAUCGCGAUCUUUGGAGACGAAGCAGAGGGCGCGACUACAUCUUCUGCAUCCGCUUCCGUCGGCCACUGGAGCUCCCUCCACCAUCAGAGUAGGGUCAAGGAGUUUCACUUCUCUAUUCCACCUCCAUUCCAUUCAAGCUCCGACCACAUUUCAGCCAUCUCCGUCGCAUUCUUCUUCGACACAGAGCCGCCGCCGAGCCACCAUCUGACGCCAUCCUCCAUCACAUUUUCGACGCCGAUCAUCGAGACUCAAUCAUCGGAGGAGAGUGGGGUUUACCUUCUUCUCCAGAUCGGAGUUUCGAGCAGCUCUGCCAUCAUCUUCUUCGCCACUGAUCUCCUUUGUUCUAUUUUAGCAUGGAGAAGUACUAGCUUGGCUGUAAGCUCCAUUUUGAAAUUUGAUACUUCUUUGAUGUAUUGAUUGCUUGCUUGUGUUCAUGUUUUAAUUCCGGUAUGAAUUCAUUGUUGGUUGAAUUGUAAUUGACUUGAAUUCCCCAUAUUUUGGAUUUCAUGUAUCUGGGUCU